GCAUAAGCAAAAAUAGCCUCAAAAGAAACUACAAAAUUUCCACCACAAGGAAGAUAGCAACUGCAUAGUUUGUCCAACUUCUUGAUGAUAAAAAUGUGAACAAAAAGAGAGAGCACCAAGAUGCAUAAACCAGUGCCCAUCAUCUUUAGAUUGAACUCUGUCCAUUUGGAACGAGCAAGUGCAGUAAUACUUGACAGGAAAUUAGAAUAAGCUUCCACUUGCUUCUUCAGUUGAGGUAACAAUGUUGAACAACUUUCACUUUUACAAUUCAAAACAGCUUCUUUGGUAUGUAACCAAUUAUCAUGGGCCUGAGCAUAGAGGUUCGAUACAUGAGACAUAUCUUUGUCUGAAAAUCCUAUCACUGAUGAAGCUGAAUAUACAUCAAUGUAUCUUUUCACCUGCCAUGUAUUCAUGCAGAGGACAUUGA
rnacentral:misc_RNA from 1 species